rnacentral:rRNA from 1 species
CACGUAGGGCGCACGCGUUGUCCGGAAUUACUGGGCGUAAAGGGCGCGUAGGCGGCCUUCUAAGUCGAACGUGAAAUCCCCGGGCUCAACCCGGGAACUGCGUCCGAUACUGGAAGGCUUGAAUCCGGGAGAGGGAUGCGGAAUUCCAGGUGUAGCGGUGAAAUGCGUAGAUAUCUGGAGGAACACCGGUGGCGAAGGCGGCAUCCUGGACCGGCAUUGACGCUGAGGCGCGAAAGCCAGGGGAGCAAACGGG